ensembl:lncRNA
CUGUGUAGAGUGUUCAGUGUUUGGGACAGGUAUAGCUGUGUAGAGUGUUCAGUGUUUGGGACAGGUAUAGCUUGUGUAGAGUGUUCAGUGUUUGGGACAGGUAUAGCUUGUGUAGAGUCUAGAAACUCUAUUCUUAGUUUUUCUUCUGUAAUGUGAUUAUUCAUGUACCAUUUGGGUGUGUUUGUCAGUCCGCUGCUGGCGGUUUUUUGACCUUACCCGUCAUGUGACCUCAGUAAACAAAAAGUUUGGUUUCUCCAGUAAAGAACAUCAUGUUUGAUUCUGCAUACGGGAGAGCCACUUCAAAACGAGGUGAUUUUCGUUGGAGCAGGUCAGGAGAGCUAACCUUUUUCAUAAACUUAAACCUCAUUCUCCUAACCUGCUGUGUUUAUUCUCCUAACCUGCUGCGUAAGUUCUCCUAACCUGCUGUGUUUAUUCUCCUAACCUGCUGUGUUUAUUCUCCUAACCUGCUGUGUUUAUUCUCCUAACCUGC